rnacentral:rRNA from 1 species
UACGUAGGGUGCGAGCGUUGUCCGGAAUUAUUGGGCGUAAAGAGCCCGUAGGCGGUCUGUCGCGUCUGCUGUGAAAACCCGAGGCUCAACCUCGGGCUUGCAGUGGGUACGGGCAGACUAGAGUGCGGUAGGGGAGAAUGGAAUUCCUGGUGUAGCGGUGGAAUGCGCAGAUAUCAGGAGGAACACCGAUGGCGAAGGCAGUUCUCUGGGCCGUAACUGACGCUGAGGAGCGAAAGCGUGGGGAGCGAACAGG